CGGACACAUCACAUUGAAAUACUGGUUCCAGUACGAUCCCCGAAGUUAAGCAAAGUCAAACCUGGUCAGUAUCGAGAUGGGUGACCGCUUGGGAAUAUCAGGUGCUGUG